GAUGAAGAACGUAGCGAAAUGCGAUAAGUAAUGUGAAUUGCAGAAUUCAGUGAAUCAUCGAAUCUUUGAACGCAUCUUGCGCUCCUUGGUAUUCUGAGGAGCAUGCCUGUUUGAGUGUCAUUAAAUUCUCAACUACACUGACUUUGAAUUGGUGUGGCUUGGAUUUGGGGGGAAAAUUGUUGUGGGCUUUUUGUAUAGUCUGCUCCCCUGAAAUUGAUUAGCGGUACCUUUGUGGAACUGUCUACAGGUGUGAUAAUUAUCUACAUCUUAGACAUCUGCUGGAAUGCUGCUCACUAAACCUUACUUGUAUUGACAAUCUUGACCUCAAAUCAGGUAGGACUACCCGCUGAACUUAAGCAUAUCAAUAAGCGGAGGA
rnacentral:misc_RNA from 1 species